GUGCUCACUUCAGCAGCACAUAUAAAAAAAAAAAAUGGAAAAAUACAGAGAAGACUAGCAUGGCCCCUACACAAGGAUGACAUGCAAAUUCAUUAUGCCAUCCAUAUUUGG
ensembl:snRNA U6 U6 spliceosomal RNA